GUACCCGUAGCUUAAUUGGAUUAAGCAUCAGGUUGCGGACCUGAAGAUUGUGAGUCCGAGUCUCACCGGGUACA
rfam:Microgenomates bacterium GW2011_GWC1_39_7b TT58_C0003, whole genome shotgun sequence.